rnacentral:rRNA from 1 species
GAACGCUUUUUCUUUCACCGGAGCUUGCUCCACCGAAAGAAAAAGAGUGGCGAACGGGUGAGUAACACGUGGGUAACCUGCCCAUCAGAAGGGGAUAACACUUGGAAACAGGUGCUAAUACCGUAUAACACUAUUUUCCGCAUGGAAGAAAGUUGAAAGGCGCUUUUGCGUCACUGAUGGAUGGACCCGCGGUGCAUUAGCUAGUUGGUGAGGUAACGGCUCACCAAGGCAACGAUGCAUAGCCGACCUGAGAGGGUGAUCGGCCACACUGGGACUGAGACACGGCCCAGACUCCUACGGGAGGCAGCAGUAGGGAAUCUUCGGCAAUGGACGAAAGUCUGACCGAGCAACGCCGCGUGAGUGAAGAAGGUUUUCGGAUCGUAAAACUCUGUUGUUAGAGAAGAACAAGGAUGAGAGUAAAAUGUUCAUCCCUUGACGGUAUCUAACCAGAAAGCCACGGCUAACUACGUGCCAGCAGCCGCGGUAAUACGUAGGUGGCAAGCGUUGUCCGGAUUUAUUGGGCGUAAAGCGAGCGCAGGCGGUUUCUUAAGUCUGAUGUGAAAGCCCCCGGCUCAACCGGGGAGGGUCAUUGGAAACUGGGAGACUUGAGUGCAGAAGAGGAGAGUGGAAUUCCAUGUGUAGCGGUGAAAUGCGUAGAUAUAUGGAGGAACACCAGUGGCGAAGGCGGCUCUCUGGUCUGUAACUGACGCUGAGGCUCGAAAGCGUGGGGAGCGAACAGGAUUAGAUACCCUGGUAGUCCACGCCGUAAACGAUGAGUGCUAAGUGUUGGAGGGUUUCCGCCCUUCAGUGCUGCAGCAAACGCAUUAAGCACUCCGCCUGGGGAGUACGACCGCAAGGUUGAAACU